AUUGAACGCUGGCGGAAUGCUUUACACAUGCAAGUCGAGCGGCAGCGCGGGGGCAACCCUGGCGGCGAGCGGCGAACGGGUGAGUAACAUAUCGGAACGUACCCAGUCGUGGGGGAUAACUAUCCGAAAGGAUAGCUAAUACCGCAUACGUCCUGAGGGAGAAAGCGGGGGAUCGCAAGACCUCGCGCGAUUGGAGCGGCCGAUAUCGGAUUAGCUAGUUGGUGGGGUAAAGGCUCACCAAGGCGACGAUCCGUAGCGGGUCUGAGAGGACGACCCGCCACACUGGAACUGAGACACGGUCCAGACUCCUACGGGAGGCAGCAGUGGGGAAUUUUGGACAAUGGGGGCAACCCUGAUCCAGCCAUUCCGCGUGAGUGAAGAAGGCCUUCGGGUUGUAAAGCUCUUUCAGCAGGAACGAAACGGUGGUCCCUAAUACGGACUACUAAUGACGGUACCUGAAGAAGAAGCACCGGCUAACUACGUGCCAGCAGCCGCGGUAAAG
rnacentral:rRNA from 1 species